AGACCUCUGACAUCAGUGGCCGUCCUGCAACAGGAGGUGUGGUGUGACAACUACACAAACCCUGUGGUGAAGGUAGAAGAGAAGGUGAAGGACAGCGUAGUGAAAGUGUCUCCUCCUCAGACAUUAUCCAUUCAUGGCUCCACCGUCUCCUGGAACUUCAAUUCAACACAACGUUACAUGUUUGAGGUCCAGUACAGAUCUGCAGCUCAGAACUGGAGGGAUGAUGAUAAACAGCAGACAACGGAUACGGAGCUGCAUCUGCCAGAGGAUCAUCUCCAGCUGCAUCAGCAGUACAGCAUCAGGCUGAGGGUGAAGCUGGAGCUGCAGAGAGCCGUGUGGAGCGACUGGAGCCCCGAACACACCUGGACAUCUACUGUGGGGAGGCAGAGACACACAACCCCUGCUGCAGGUGACUGACAGACACACACACACGCACACAAACACAUAUACAGCUACAUAUAACACGCACAGGCACACACACACAUACACACACACACACACACACACACACACACACACACACACACUUACUCUAUUUCCACACUAUUCAGGACAGAAUAGUGACUUUGAGCGAGACGCUAAUGGUCUAAUCCGAUUCAAUGAUCUAUGCUAAGCUAAGCUAACGUGUUCCUGAUCGAGCUGGAGAUCAAUGGACUCAAUAACUGUAAACCGCAGCUGUUUCGCUGUAGGAGAGCUGUAAAUGAGGAUCUGUAUAUUAUCAUGAGUGUUGAUGUCGAUGAGUGACGCUCCGCUCUCCUCUCAGGAUGAAGCACUUCUCCUAUAUUCCUGAUCCAUCCAAGUUCUUCGGAGAUCUGAACUCCAGCCACGGGGGGAAUUUUAAGGCGUGGCUGGGCCCGGUUCUGCUCCGCGAGAGCUUCAUCACUGCAGACUCGGAGCUGGUCAGUCCAGUGGAGGUGUUGAGGCUGCAGGACGCCUGUGACUCUCUCAGCACACACUCACACACACACAGCGGCCCGAUGGACGGGUGGGAUAAAUCCAGCAAAUCCUCCGACUUCUCCAACUCCACAUACUUCCUGUCGCAGAGCUCCAGGGGCCCCGGGCACGCUCUAGAGCCCUGCUCCGCGAACUCCUCAUACGGGCCCGCAGGGGGCAUCAGCGGCCUGGAGACGCAGCGCAGCGCACACGAUGGCGGUGUUCCGGAUCAGCAAACGGAUCUGCUGCAGCUGGAGCGGCUCCGGCAGGACACUCAGAGUCCAGACUCAGGCUUCGCUGGUGGGGCAGAGGACAGCAUGGAGGAGAGCGAGCUGCCCAGUCCUCUGCCCAUCAGUCCUUUGUCCAUAAGUUCUCUGCCCAUCAGUCCUCUGCCCAUCAGCCUGCUGCCACUGAAGCUGCCUGCGCCGCAGCCCAUAAUAAUGCCCCCACUGCUGGGCUUCAGCUGCACCACUGCUCUGCUUCAGCCACUGGAGCUCCUGAACACCUGCGGGCCCGUCCUGCCCUCCAGCGGAGACUACAGACCUGUCAAGAGUUUACAGAACAACCACUGAACAGACUGACCCCAGAUCAGGCGGAAUGAGUGACCACUGAUAGAGAGAGACUGACCUCAGAUCAGCUGGUGUAAGUGACCACCGACUAAUUCACUGGAUGUAACGAUUCACUGAGUCAUUUGAGAAUCGAUUCAAAGAUGUGAUGAUUCAGUUCAGUUCAGCAGGAGAAAUCAACAUGGAAAAACAAACACCACAUAGAAAUCUGAUGCACAAGUUUACAUAUGUGGAUUGCAUACAUAUAAGGAAAUGUAAUAUGUGGAACAUAAACAUUUUAAAAUAUUGCAAAAAUGAAAUGUCCGUUUCCAUAUUAUUUUUCACCCAUUAGAAUUAGAUACAGAUAGAUCAAUAGUGUAGAUAGAAAUAAUAAUAUAAUUACUUUUCUAAUAAUAUAAAUAAUGUAAACAGUUAAUAAUAUGCUGAUUUUUUUAAAAACAUUUUUACGUUAAAAAGGUAAAAAAAAAUCUCAGCUAAGAAAAAGCACAACUAAUAUAUUAGUUUCUUUAAAUUGAAGGUUUUUUAUAUUAUCUGGUAUUUAUUAAUUUAUUUGAUUAGGAAUUUGUUUUAAAAUUUCAAUUAUGCAUGUUAUUCUAUAAAAUACAUGUUUCUUAUUUUACACAUAAAUCUGCAGUAUUUUACAUCAUUUCUUCAUCAAAGGGUCAUUUCUAAAUUCUCUCAACUAAUUAAAACAAUAUGGUGAAAUAAUGUUAUGAUGCAGUGAAUCAUGAGUCGACUGAAUCGUUGCAUCUCUUAUAAACGGUUAUUAAUAAUCGUCACACACUCGUCUGCCUCUAGAACCAUUCAUAAAACAUUUAUUACAAAACUGGACAUUUCAUAACCCCAUCAAACCUGCUGUUCAGAGAUCUCAGUGCUCGCUGAAGGAUGAAGACGCUAUAUUAGUUUGCUUUGUUUUGAAUAUUUGUGUUUCACUGUGUCACUGGUCUUGUGUCACUGGUCUUCCUAAAAAGACAGUCAGACAGUUGCAGCUCAUCCAGAACGCUGCAGCCAGAAUUCUAACCAGAACCAGAAAAUCAGAGCACAUCACACCUGUCCUCAGGUCUCUACACUGGCUGCCAGUUACAUUCAGAAUAGAUUUUAAAGUAUUAUUACUGGUCUAUAAAUCACUAAAUGGCCUAGGACCUCAAUACAUUACAGAUAUGCUCACUGAAUACAAACCUAACAGAUCACUCAGAUCAUUAGGAUCAUAUAAACUAGAAGUUCCAAGAGUUCAGUCAAAGCAGGGUGAAUCUGCCUUCAGCCACUAUGCCCCUCGCUGCUGGAAUCAGCUUCCAGAAAUGAUCAGAUGUGCUGAACAUCAAUAGGCAACAAAUAGGCACAUUCACAUCCAGACUGAACACACAUCUGUUUAGCUGUGCCUUUACUGAAUGAGCACUGUGCUGCGUCCGACAGAUUGCACUAUCAUGUUUUUCUCUUCUUCUUCAUUCUUUUAUAUCACAUUUUACCUGUUUUUAUGUUUUGUUUUUACGAUUAUUUGUUUUUAUUUUUAUUUUACUUGUUUCUUUUAUUCUUGUUUGUGUAAAGCACUUUGAAUUGCCAUUGUGUAUGAAAUGUGCUAUAUAAAUAAACUUGCCUUGCCUUGCNNNNNNNNNNNNNNNNNNNNNNNNNNNNNNNNNNNNNNNNNNNNNNNNNNNNNNNNNNNNNNNNNNNNNNNNNNNNNNNNNNNNNNNNNNNNNNNNNNNNAUAAAUAAACUUGCCUUGCCUUGCCUUUCAUUGCAUGAAAAAGAGCAGCGUGAACAUUCUGCUAAACAUCUCUAAAAGAUAUGAGCUUUGGCAUGUGCUCAGUGUGUGUGAGAGAAACUGAACAUCUGCAGCUGGAACCAGUGGAUCAACAGAGACUGUGCUUGUGAAUUUCACUAAUAUUUCAGCAUGCAUGUCAGAAAGCUAGUGACACCGCCCUCUACUAUAGUACAUGACAGAGUGCACUGUCUAUGAUGUUGAGCAGGAGUGACGCUAAUCAUACAGAAACAGUUUGUUUUCCGCUCAUGAUCUCAUGUAUGUGUUGUUUAUAAUGUACGCUGUUUGCUGCUUUGGGGAAUGUGUGUGUGUGUUUCAGUUUGCUGCUAAUAAAGAUAAUAAUAUGCAUAUUAGUGCUGAGUUCUGUCUGAGUAACACUGCUUACAAAGAGGAUUUAAACACAUUUUUAAACAACAUACUUGUCUCAAUGAAGGGCGAAGGCCUCUUGAUUUUGCUGAUUUGAGCUCAAUAAAAUCUGAUCAUGUCUUGAUGUUGACAGCACAAGCUGUCUUGAUACUUCAGGCUGUUGAUGUUGAUCAUCCACUCUGCAGAUCUCUCGCACGCCCCCAUACUGAAUGAACCCCAAACCAUGCUUUCUACUUCACCAAACUUGACUGAUUUCUGUGAGAAUCUUGGUCCAUGCUGGUUCCAGUAGGUCUUCUGCAGUAUUGGUGAUGAUUGGGAUGCAGAUCAGCAGAUGAUCCAGCAGAGAAAUCCACCUUCUGACACCAAAUGAUCAAUUUAAGACCAGUUAUUAUCUGCUGCUCUUCAACUGGAGGAUCCAGCACAAGACUUCUGUCAGGGAGUGUAUUAAUAACUGAUUCCUUUUAUCUUUGCCAUGAUGACAGUACAUCAUAUGUUACUAGAUAUUCUGCAAGGCGAUCGUACUGCCUCUUAUUUCUGUGUUAGAAAAUAAGCAGCAAUGUUUUAUAUAAAGAAAACUAUAGAAGUGACAUCCUCACAUCAUUAUAGCAUAAUUGUUAUGAUACUGUGCAACAAUAACUCAUAUUUUUACAUCACUGUGAGGGGUAUUUUUAGGGUUGGUAUAGAGGUAGACAUCAAUAAAAUAUAAAAUGAACAUAUGUAAUUAAGUAAAUAUAAACAAUUCUCACUAUAAUUACAGUUUUUAAAUUACU
ensembl:lincRNA